GGUAAUCCAAGAUGGACCAGAAAUUCAGGAUCUUCACGGUUAACGUGGUGGCAGUCAGAAAGAAAUGCAAUAGAACUAAUUUAAGUUCUAGAUCAUGAUAGCCUGUGAUAUGGUUAUGAUCUGCUAUUGUUCGUGAUUUCCUGUACCAUCAUAUGACACAAUGAAGAGAUGACCAUGUGCAAACCACAUAGAGUACCCUUACCAGACACUAGAGCUGGCAGAAAUUUGAUCUUGGACUUCCCAGUCUCCAGAACUGUGAGAAAUAAAUGUUUGUUGUUUAUGAAA